UGGGGAAUAUUGCACAAUGGGCGCAAGCCUGAUGCAGCCAUGCCGCGUGUAUGAAGAAGGCCUUCGGGUUGUAAAGUACUUUCAGUCGGGAGGAAGGUGGUAAGGUUAAUAACCUUGGCAAUUGACGUUACCGACAGAAGAAGCACCGGCUAACUCCGUGCCAGCAGCCGCGGUAAUACGGAGGGUGCAAGAGUUAAUCGGAAUUACUGGGCGUAAAGCGCACGCAGGCGGUUGAUUGAGUCAGAUGUGAAAUCCCCGGGCUUAACCCGGGAAUUGCAUCUGAUACUGGUCAGCUAGAGUCUUGUAGAGGGGGGUAGAAUUCCAUGUGUAGCGGUGAAAUGCGUAGAGAUGUGGAGGAAUACCGGUGGCGAAGGCGGCCCCCUGGACAAAGACUGACGCUCAGGUGCGAAAGCGUGGGGAGCAAACAGG
rnacentral:rRNA from 1 species